ACUCCUUUAGAUUUGUUUUAAACAUGGUCUGGUUAGGAGUGGGGGCACACAAAAUCCACGGUUAGUGAAAAGGCAAGUCUCAAACAAUUUCAAGGUGACAUGAACUCCGAUGCACCUGAAAGUAAUUGCUGAAGGAUGCCAGCACGAUGCGGUGACAGGGAAACUCCUGUCCACCGCAACACAGCGUGACAUCACAAAAGGAGUUAUCGAGCCUCAAGGCGUUGAGACCCUGCAGGACCGUGUUGGGGUGCCGGGCUUCCACAAACAGGAAGUCUUCUCCACCCGGUGACGCAGAGAGACUGCUGGCCUCCUCCUGGAUGUUGGCAGCCACAAACUCAGACAUUUCCGACGCUGGCAAGGAAAAAUUCGAGUCAAAACAAGUAGAGAAGAAAAGCUCAACGUCUUCGUCUGAGCAGAGCGUAAGCGCCUCCAGGUCCAGGUGCUCUCUGGUGAAUGCCAGAGCAAACUCGGACAAGGAGAUAGACGCCAAGAAGCCGUCCAGAGGAGACGUUUCCUCCUCGUCGUCAUCCAGGCCCAGAUCUUCUUGCUCCCACGGGACGUCGGCAUUCUCCACUAAACCGGAGAGGUCUUCUUCUGUCUCCAGAGUUUGGUUCUGAACAAGGUAGCCGAGGUUUUCGUUGUUCCUGCUCAAGACCUCCUCCGUCUCCAGGCUCAUCCGUUUCAUGAAGGCUCCUUUCAUCCUGCUCGUUGAAAACAUCCAAAAACUCCGGAUUCCCAGACGCCGCGUCCUCUUGCUUGAGGAAAAUGACGUUCCCAUCGGCAGCAGAUUUCUGCAGAGUUCCCUUAUCUUUCUUCCCGAGCUUCAUCUGCAGCGUGCCUUUAACCCUAGCGGUCAAUGAGCCAGAUUUUUCAGAGGCGAUGAGCUUGGAGAACUGCUCGUUGACGCUGCUCACAGUGCUGGCGCCAGACAAAACUGACAAAUCGCCAGCCUCCGAAGCAGAUCCGGCUGUAUCCGGCCCGCGGUACAUCUUAUCCAUCUUGCUUUGGUGUCGCUUCUUCACCUUCUCGCAAAGUUUCACUCGUUUCUCCGCUUCUUUUCCGGCCUCUUUCUUUAACCUGGCCACCUUCUUGGGAUUCUGGUUUGUCUGCUGAGAUGCGGCGGCGUCCAAGAACCGCACGCAGUCCAUGCGGUCCCGCGAGGCGGCCACGUCCAUGGCCGUGUGCAGCUCAUUGUCCAGCGCAAACAGGUUGGCGUCAAAGCUGACCAGAAAGCUGAGGAUGUGCAUGUGACCAUUGGCGGCGGCGUGGUGCAGCGGAGUGUUUCCCCAA